rnacentral:lncRNA from 1 species
GGGCUCUGUCUGACCCUCCAAACCCCAGAGCCUGGAGGCAGGGGCACGGGAGGACCCCCGGGAGUGAAGGCAGCAGGGGUGCCCUAGCUCUCCACCCACCCCUGGCUCAUGGUGCCCUCUCGCCUUUAGUGAGGGCACCCCACGUAAGCUUUCUAGACCUCAAGGCUGCCCUCCCACCUGGCCAGACCCAGCCUUGUGGGAGACGGAUGCCCCUGCUGCCUCUCGUCCAUGCUCUUCCCCUCCGAUUUCAACUGCAGCUGCAGGCCUGGCCUGGGCGGGCUGCUGGGCUAGCAGACGGGAGUCGUGGGGAGUGGGGAGACGGCAGAGCAGGUGGGAGGCUGGGCCCAUCCUCUCACCCACGUGGUUGUGGAUCCCGGAGCACUAGUCCUCUUGGCCACCCUGGACAUGGAGCUCCUCCCCUGCAGAUGGGGAAACUAAGGCAGAGUGGAGGGAACUCACUCAAGGUCCCAAUGAGCUCCAGAGCUGAGUGUGAGCCACUGGUUCCCAAGCCCAGGUCAUUCAUUUAUUCACUUCCUCGCUGCCCUUCCUGUACAGCAGCUGCAGCCUUAAUGUUUAACUCGUGGGAUUGUCAUUGUCAUGAGGAUGUGAAGAGGGGUCUCCCCGGGCAACAGGGGCUCUUGACUGGGCAGAGCCACUGUAGGGACAUCCAGAAGGCGGUAUGGCCAAGGACAGUCCUGCAUUUGGAUCCCAACUCUGGCAACAGCUGUGUGGUUCUGGGCAAAUGGCUUGCCUGCUUUGAUCCCUGACCCCUUCUGUAUAAGGGGGUGAUAAAACCCGUACCCCAAGGGGUAGCUGGGAAGAUGGCAUAAAACCAAGCCUGCCCGGUGGGCCACAGCAUAGGGGCUGCUGCUCCAUCUUGGGGUCUCUCAGAGCAAAGAUCCCAAAGCCAGGCAGCUGUGAAGCUCCCAAGGGUGGCUCCGAGGCUCUCUGUGGGGUGAUAGGGAAGCCUGGGCUGAGGGGAGAGAAGAAGGGAGGCAGCUCAGAGGGCUCAGGCUGGGAGGCUCCAUGGAGGAUGGAUGUUCUCUGGAGGUUGAGGUUGAGACAGGAGCAGGCUAGGGGUGAAAGGCUUUAUGUUGAUUCGAGGCCCCUGCAGGUCAGCAGAGCAGUGGGGGUCUGGAGCCAGGGGCUGGGUCCAGGUUCUGCCGCUUACUGCUGUGCAGUCUUGGGUAAGUUACUUCCCCUCUCUGAGCCUCAGUUUCCUCAUCUGUAAAAUGGGAUGACAAUAGCUAUGGAUUCAGUUAUAUCCUCCUUCUAUGCUAUUGUAUAGAAGUAUCUAUACCAAGGUGUGGACAGUCAAGCCCUCAAUGAAAGGAAGCUGUGAUCGGGAUUGUGACUGAGAUGGAAUCAGUAACCCUAGAAG